rnacentral:antisense_RNA from 1 species
GGGUGUUGGCGCGUGUGUUUCACACUCGCCUCCCUGGCGUUCGCGAGCUGACCCGAGGAGUGGUAAUCUCACGCGGCAAAGCAGGGAGGAAGAAAAAAAGGAGACAAAAGAACAAAAGACUUUUAUCUGGGCAGAAAGUCACAAUGCCUAGGGGCCAAACGUUUGUGAGCGGUGAAGUUGGUUGACUGCUCAAGUUUGCAGAGCUUCAGCAAUUGCAUCACUAAAGAGAGCAAGCACACAGAUUUGGAAAAAAAAAAAAUCUGACGAUCAAAGAAGCCCCUCCUCACACUACCAAAGGUUUAAAGACAACGGAAAAAAGUGGUAUAGACAGAUCCUCAAAGCCUCUCACCAUGUCCUAUUCUCAAUGAGACAUAGCCUAAGAAAACGGAAUCUAAAAGCAAGACAGAUACAUUACCAACAAAUACAGUAGUAUGUAGAUGAAAACAAAAAAUGAUUUAACAAAAAUAAAGUAAUCCAUUGAAAGCUGA